CCCCUUCCACGACUGUGAUUUGCUGUCACACAUAUCACAGCCGUGCUUAAGGGCU
rnacentral:pre_miRNA from 1 species